rfam:Hordeum vulgare subsp. vulgare, WGS project CAJW01000000 data, contig: morex_contig_76393
GGACUACUCCCUCUGUCCCAAAAUUCUUGUCUUAUAUUUGUGUAGAUAUGAAUGUAUCUAGUCAUAUCUUAGUAUUUAGAUACAUUUAUUUAUAGACAAAUCUAAGACAAGUAUUUUGGGACGGAAGGAGUAUUAU